rnacentral:rRNA from 1 species
GUGAGGAAUAUUGGACAAUGGGCGCAAGCCUGAUCCAGCCAUGCCGCGUGCAGGAAGACGCAUCUAUGGUGUGUAAACUGCUUUUGUACGGGAAGAAACACUCCCUCGUGAGGGAGCUUGACGGUACCGUAAGAAUAAGGAUCGGCUAACUCCGUGCCAGCAGCCGCGGUAAUACGGAGGAUCCAAGCGUUAUCCGCAAUCAUUGGGUUUAAAGGGUCCGUAGGCGGUUUAAUAAGUCAGUGGUGAAAGCCCAUCGCUCAACGAUGGAACGGCCAUUGAUACUGUUAGACUUGAAUUACAAGGAAGUAACUAGAAUAUGUAGUGUAGCGGUGAAAUGCUUAGAUAUUACAUGGAAUACCAAUUGCGAAGGCAGGUUACUACUUGUGGAUUGACGCUGAUGGACGAAAGCGUGGGGAGCGAACAGGAUUAGAAACCCGAGUAGUCC